rnacentral:rRNA from 1 species
GACGAACGCUGGCGGCGUGCUUAACACAUGCAAGUCGAACGAAGUGGUGAACGGGUGAGUAACGCGUAAUCAACCUGCCCUUCAGAGGGGGACAACAGUUGGAAACGACUGCUAAUACCGCAUACUGAAGGAGGGGAUUGCGUCUGAUUAGCUAGUUGGAGGGGUAACGGCCCACCAAGGCGAGGAUCAGUAGCCGGCCUGAGAGGGGGACCGGCCACAGUGGGACUGAGAGACGGCCCAGAGUCCUACGGGAGGCAGCAGUGGGGGAUAUUGCACAAUGGGCGAAAGCCUGAUGCAGCGACGCCGCGUGGGGGAUGAAGGCUUUCGGGUUGUAAACCUCUUUCGCUAUCGAACGGGUAGGUGGAGAAGAAGCGCCGGCUAACUACGUGCCAGCAGCCGCGGUAAUAC